GAUUCGGGCCGCGGGGACGAAGAGCGAACGACGCGGGCCCGUCCCGCCGCGCUCGCAGGGCCGCGCGGCGUCACCCGGCCUCACCCGGCUAUUUCGGGCCGCCCCUCCCGCGCCCGCCCCGCGCUCCGGGAGCUGUUCCCUGUUCCCCUGGUGCUGUGGUGGAUGUGGCUUCAACCUGCAUGUAACACUAUGCCAGGUCUUGCCUGUACCUUCUGAGAGCCUGCUGCUGUGCUUCCCUCCUCAGCCAGCGCGGCUUGUAACGCUUAUCAGUGAAGUGUUUCUGUCCUCCGGGGCCUGAAUAUAGAGUCACCAUAUGAGGGUAAAGUAGCUGAUUUCAGCCACCCUUCUAUGUAUUUGGUUUGGUGGACUCUCUCCUUGUUUCUAGCCUUCUUCACUCUCUUGAGAAAGCAAACUGUGAGAAAUGGGAGUACCUGGCUUUCUUUCAGGUCUGACUUUUCUGCCACUGUAUUUGUAAUGAUGUUUGCAACUUUCUGUUUUUGUCAAGGAGUCCCAGAGUCUAUGGGCCUGAAGAAGAAGAGUGUUGUGUAAUCUGCAUACUGUAUAUUGGUUUUCGCUGUAGCCUGACAAGUUAAUAGACCUCAUUGCAUCUGC